GCACCUUUGUAGUUGUAGCUUAACUGGAGUAGAAGUUCUUGAUAGUGAACUAAUGAUGGGAAGAAAGCAUUGUAACAAGUUUCUUUUCUUUAUUAAUUUAUGCUGUUGAAUAUAUCUUUUAAUGCAUUGCCAAAAACUACAAUGUCAUCAAAAAAAGUUAUUGGAUCUGCAUUUUCCAUGCUAGCAAAAACUAGCUACUUUAUAUUUAACGUUAGGCUUAGGGCAUGUGUACAAGCUCAAGAGUAAAAUUAAAAUUUAAUCCAGACAAACAUGCCACUCUCACGUACAAGAUCAUUAAUUGCCAACAUCAAUGGUUCAUCCACCACAUCGACAAAUGAUUCUUUUCUUCCUCGUAUCCCAGAAAAUAAUUCUAAUGUCAACUUGCCACCUAUUAAGAGCCAGACGAUUGGAGGAUUUAAGUCCGUUUAUCAAGAUACUAUACAAGUUCAACAGUUGUUUCAACCGCUUUCUGUUUCAAACAGGGCUCAAACGUUAACUAGCGACAGCAGCAAUGCAAGGACAUCAGUCACUCAACUACCUGAGGUCUGUCCUACAACAUACGCAGACACUAAAUUUAGUGGUACCAGUAAUAACAAGAGUGCGUCUUCAAAACCAAAGAUUCUUGUGGCUACUCCAGAACAGGUAAUGAAGUUAUAUAUGCAUAAACUAACUCCGUACGAACACCAUGAAAUUUUUAGCUAUCCUAAAAUUUAUUUUAUUGGUGCAAAUGCAAAAAAGAGGCAAGGGGCCAUUGGAACUUCCAAUAACUGUGGAUAUGAUGAUGAUCAGGGAUCAUACCUACAUGUACCUCAUGACCACAUAGCUUAUAGGUAUGAAAUGCUUAAAAUUAUUGGAAAAGGAAGUUUUGGUCAAGUUAUCAAAGCUUAUGAUCAUAAAGAUCAUCAACAAGUAGCUUUGAAAAUGGUUCGUAAUGAGAAACGUUUCCACCGACAGGCACAAGAAGAAAUUCGUAUACUGGACCAUUUAAAAAAACAAGACAAGGACAAUAAUCGUAAUAUAGUACAUAUGCUAGAAAAUUUCACAUUCCGAAAUCACACCUGUAUAACUUUUGAGUUACUUAGUAUUAACUUAUAUGAACUCAUUAAGAAAAAUAAAUUUCAAGGAUUUAGUUUGCAGCUUGUUCGAAAAUUUGCACAUUCUCUAUUGCAGUGUUUGGAUACCUUAUAUCGAAACAAAAUCAUACACUGUGACUUAAAACCAGAAAAUGUGUUGCUAAAACAGCAGGGGCGUAGUGGAAUAAAAGUGAUAGAUUUUGGUUCAAGUUGUUAUGAGCAUCAACGUGUGUAUACCUACAUCCAGUCCAGAUUUUACAGAGCACCAGAAGUGAUCCUAGGGGCUAAGUAUGGCAUGCCAAUAGAUAUGUGGAGUUUAGGAUGUAUUCUUGCUGAACUUUUAACAGGCUAUCCUCUUCUCCCAGGAGAAGAUGAAGGAGACCAACUUGCUUGUAUGAUUGAACUGCUUGGUAUGCCACCUCAAAAACUUCUGGACCAAUCAAAACGAUCAAAGAAUUUUAUCAGCUCUAAAGGUUAUCCUCGGUACUGUAGCACAACAGCGCUGCCUGAUGGCACAGUUGUAUUAAAUGGCGGUCGGUCUCGGAGAGGAAAGAUGCGUGGUCCACCUGGGAGUAAGGAAUGGGUGACAGCAUUAAAAGGAUCUGAUGAUCAUCUCUUCAUUGACUUCUUAAAACGGUGUUUAGAAUGGGAUCCAGUUUCAAGAAUGACACCAGCAACUGCUCUACGACAUGAAUGGCUUCGACGUCGUCUCUCAAAACCUCCACAAAUUCCUAUGGAUAAUGAAGCUGUUGAUAUACAGUCUUCUAACCAGACCAAUACUUUGGGAGGAAUUAAUAGAAGCAGCUUAAUCACACAUGUCAGUACUAUUGGUGCUACCAAAGCUCGGACAAUGGUGGCUACUAUUGGUGAUGAAAUUUCUGGUACUAUGGGUACCCAUAUCAAACUACCACAGAUUAGUAACACAGUGACUUGAUGAUAUCCUAUCUGUAGACUUAGUUCAUGUAAGUCAUAGAAUGCGUAUGUGCCGUCCUGUGAACAAAAAUAAUUUUAUCUUACUGGCUAAUGGUCAAAAUGGUUGAAGGGUAUAUAACUGGCAUAUUUCUUGAGUUUCUCAAGCAAGGUACUGUACAUAUGUACCAGAAGGAUCUUGUAUAUAUUUUAUUGGUUGCUUUAUUUAUUAAUGUGUUUCUCUUCUUUUUUUUUUAAGUCAUGUCACUGCCACUUUCUUUUUUUUUAUCACAUGGCAAAUAUCUUUUAUUUCUGCUGUUAUUAGAAUUAUGUAACUUUUGUAAUGUAAAGACACUGCAAGAAAAGGUCAUGUAGAAAUAUCUAUUUCAUAGUGUGGUUACAUUUAAUGUGAUUUUGCUAUUUCACUUAACAGGCCUUAAAUUCCAUUUUCUGUUUUAAACGGUUUAUGACAUCAAGUAUAAGGAAAAUAUGGUAAUUAAAACAAAAUGUUUUAUGAAAUUGCUAGUACAGCAUGAAAUUCUACUGUAUAAUUAUGAGGAUCCAAAGCCACAUACUCUCUACAACUAAAUUUGAACCUUCAGUUUUUUAAAUAUGUUAUUUGAUCUGUUUUUAUCAUUAAGUGUAGGAUGGAGAAUUAAUUCUAUAAACUAAUCACUUCUGUAAAACCUUCUCCCGUGAAAUUAUUUGGUGUUUGGUAAAAAUUCUUUACUCGCCAGUUUUAAUUGCUGAAGAUUAAUAAAAUGAUUUAAACUUUAAUUAGCCCCAAAUUUGCAUUUAUUGUAUAUGUUUGUUAGUUUCCAAGAAUUUGUAGAACAGAUUUCUUCAUAAUUUGUGAGAGUUGUAUACAUAUUUGUAGCAAAUAGUCUUCAGUUGCUAAAAAUUCAUUUGCUCAUUUAAUCUUGGGAAAGUAAGUACUUUCAGUACAGAUGAUGUUUGAACCUAGUUGUAUAUGUAUAGUUCAUAACUAUGUGAGUUGUAUAACAAUUUAAACUAAUACUGAAACCUAUUUUUAUUGUGCUGUUUUUCUGUAAUGUAGCCACGUUAUAAUUAUUUUUAGAUUCGUGUAAUAUCCAUUAUUAUCUUGUAAAUAUCUUCAAUGUGGGUGGUGACAUUUACUCUCAUUAUUACAAAUUAUAUAUUAGUAAAAAGUCCAUUUUAGAUGGUAGAAGGUUCUUCUGCAUUACCCUUCAACUAUAUUACACUUAGGUCUUAACUUAUACACCUGGACUUAAUUUCCAUUACUAAAAAUAUUAGGUUUUUGCUGAAUGUUUUAAAUGUUUUGCAGAAAGGUUGAUGUAAAGAUAUAGUUGUGUGUAUUUUUGUUUUAGAAGGUUUUUUAAUAUAUGAAAAUCACUGAAAAUUUUAAAUCUAUAAUGUUUAAAAAUAUAUAAUUGGAGGAUUAUUUCCGAAACACUGUUGUGCACAUGAUGUAAUUGUUUUUUGAAAUAUAAAUAUUCAAGUAAUUCUUGGCAAUGGGAGAAAGUUUGAGAAGGCUGUCUGUCUGUGCAGUUGUUACAAAACUUGAUUUGGGAUAAGAUAACAAACUUUGUGUUAUUUACUAGGUUGUUACUUGUACAAAAUAAGCCUCACAUACUUGAGACCUGAAAUUGUAGAAAAUAAGAUUCAAAUGUUAAUACACUUCAUAUGCGAUUAGAAAAUAUACUUUUUUGCCUGAUAUAAGGUUCCUGUAAACUUCCAGUGUGGAUGGUGGUUUGCUUGUUUAUUGUUUACCACCUGUAUAUACAUGUGUGUAUAUUCUGUAAUGUCUUGAGUUCUCACCUAUUUGAUCUUUUCUUUUUUCUUUCAAUGAAGUAUUACGUGUAAAUAAACUUAACAAUUAUUCUAGUGGUGUAGUCAGGAAAAUGUGAAUUACAUCACAGUAUUUUGUGUAAGCAUAAGUAUAAAAUGUUUGCUUAGAAUGUUAGGACCAGACUAUUGCUGGAUGAAUACAAAAACUAAAAGUUUUGCAUGUAUUAUAAGGAGGAGAAAAAUGUGCAUAUAGUCAUGUUUUGCAAGCAUUUAACAAAUUUCAUUCUUAUUGUUGAAUGUAAACUUACUUGUGUGGUAAGAAAUACUUAACUUUCCUCUAAUAUUUAACUUGUUUGUCUCCUUUUCAUAUCCUAUCAUGUGUAGUUUGAUAAAGCACUUUUCACUAACUUUUUCCAAAGUCUUUCAAUGAGUUUAGGCAAUUAAAUAAUCCCGGUAACCCUUAUGUUUUCGUAUAGCCUUCUGUUACAAGAGUAACAUUUUCAAACUUCCAUUUCCACAUCAAGGACAUCAAUCUAUAGAAACACUCUCAGUAAUCAUUAAAAAUCAUCUGAUUUACUUAACUAUUGAUGUACUCACUCUUUGGAUAUUCCAUAACUAGUAUAAGAUCUCAUGUAAUUCUGACAUAAUACUUGUUUUGGGCUACAUUUGUGAACACAAAAAUAACUUAAAUAUAUAUGUAUAUAUAUAUUAUCAUGGCACCAGUGUUUGGUGGUAAUAGUACACACUUGAUCCAUCUUCCUAGUUUUUGUCAAUAUUAAUAGGUAUAGAAACAUUUAAAUUGAGAUAUUUAAAGUGAUACAUUUGAUGUCAUAGUGUCUUUCAUAGUUCUUGUAAAUUGUAGUUGGUAAAGAGUGCUAGAUGUCUUUGAGGGCCUUGGACAUAUCAUCUUUACAAUCCUGCUUUAAGUAUGAAACUAUAGACUGGCAUAUAUGUGGUAGACCAGGUUGGAAGUUUCAGGCUGAUAAUAACGGUUAUGGAGAAAACGCACAUGUUGUUUUUUGCCUUUAGAAAACCUUAUUAUUUCACAAAGUACAAGUAAUUAUAUCUUUAAGUAUGAUUCAUAAUUAGUUGUUCUUAAAGCUAGCUUAUGGCAGUUUAGAAGAGGCUAGCCUUGGUAAUACUCUAGUUAGAAGUGAUUUAAACACUGGUAGUCUGAAAGUGCUCUGUUUUUUAAUCCCACCAAAGUUAGAGGAUUUGUAACUGAACAAUUUUUUAAUGUAAGUGUUAAUAUACAUAUGUAUGUGAAACCAGUUAUAUAUUGUUAUGUAGGAAAAAGAAUCUUCCAUGAGGCUUAUUACACUUGUAAGUUGAGGAUGCUGUGUUAAUAAAGUGUCAUUUUUUGGUAUGGGUAUUAGAACUAUCCUUGUGGGAAAAGAAAAAAAUAAUAACAUACAAUUGGUAGGUACAUGUAAAUCCAAAAAUGUGUUAUUAACUUGAAAGCUUUAAAAAUUUGUAGUUCCUAAUAAUUUUGUAUAACUAGGAAUUCUUUCACUUGAAGUCUAUCCUGAAGUUGCACAAUGAAGCUCUAUACAAGUUUAAUGCACUUUUUUGAUGUGCUGUAUUGCACAUUCAAACACUUAAAAGCUUCAUUAAAUGUGCAAUUUUGCUCUUUACUUAAUCCUUAUAAUUUUAAGUGCUGAAAUGUACUAAUAUACAGUGACACUGUAUUUCAAGUGUUAAUGUUGUUGUAGACUUGUUUAUUUUUUAUCCUCUAAAAUUCUUGGUAAAUAGUUUUAUGACAUUGUGAUAAUUGUACACUUUCAUUACAAUGCUCUUUAACCAGCAUUUAUAGCAAACUGGCACUAUAUCAGUUAUUUGAUAUAUGAGUAUUUGUACUUAAAACUUCAUUACAUCACUAUGAGUAUGAUUUUAUAAUAUGGAAAUACUGUGUUUCUUAAUUUCCUGUUGAUUUGUAGAUAUUUGUCAGCUGGGUUUUAUGGUUAUUUUCUCAUCAAAUGAGUAGCAGAUUUUAAGAUAAUUACCUAUGUAUUUUACAAAAUUCACAUUUGUUCUUUGAUGUCAGCUGUAUGUUACUGAAAGGUUACCAAUAACAUUAAAUUGAUUGGUGCUUAUAUCAGAUAUAUUUUGUUAGGUUAUUUGGCUUGCAGUGGUCUUAUUAAUGUACAUUUUUCAUUGAAAUACAAACUUUUCAAAAUCUUUUACAAAUGUAUUUUUAUACUUUUAUUUACUAGUUUGUAAAUGCUUGCAAUAAUAUUUUCUGUAGUUUUUGUACACAGUUUUUCAAUUUGGUAAAUACUACAUGCAAAACCUUGAGAGGUAAACAAGAAAAUGCACUAUUUUAAAUACUCACAAAUUUUAAUACAGAGAGUAGAGAUUGAAAACUAAACUUAACUCUGACAAACUUUAACUUAAUAAUAACUUUCUCUGUAGAUGUCAUAGAGAGUGAAAUUACAAUACUGAUAAAACUAGAUUAAAUGAGAAGUGUUGAACAGCUGUGUAGUGCUACAUCUAUAGUAUACAACUGAAUGUUACCUCAUAAUCAUUUAAUUGAUAUUCUCGUCAGCUUUGAUAGCUUUCUCAAAAUGUAUGUGUUUUGCAAAUGUGUUUCUUACUGUUGUUAUUUUAUAGAAUUUUCUGUCACUACACUGAUUCAUAGAGAUGGUUUUAGUGGAAUUCUCUGUUUGUGCUAACCACCUUUUUAUUUAGGCAGUCUUUAGUCAUUCAAGAAAUCACUAUUCACUAGCCUUCUACUGUGUUUUAGAUACAGUUGAUGAAGCUGUACAGUCCCAUACUGUUACUGGAUACACAGAAGUGUGGUAUCUACAAUGCAGUUAUACAGUUUCUGGAAGCCUUGUUCAAGUGAAUUUGGUUUUUGCUGUCCCAGAAUUAGAUGGUACAAAUAAAUGUCUGUAUUUUGAUACAUACAUACAUAUGUAUGUGAAGAAAGUGGUUUAUGUGUAUUUGUGUUUUGUUUUAUUGAAAACCUUCCAUCACAGAGUAAAUCAAAAUUUGACAGGAUUUUUAUGAAAAAUAGGUAAUUGUGAAAUCCUUCAGACAAUUUGCCAUAUAUACAUUUACACGUUGAAGCCACAUUUUAAAUAUUUUUAAGAACAACUAUGGAUUUCAAGCAACGUUUCUGUCUUGCAUGUAUAGAGGGUUAAUUGCACUGUAUAAGAGUGAUUUACAUAUGCUAGUGCUGUGACAUGUCACUUCAGAUGCAAUGUGUGGCACUAUGCAUGACAUGUUUAAUACCUAUACACCAUGUGUACUGGAAACAUGUCACAGCCCUUUUCGCGACAAUGAUAUCUGUAUAGCAAGACUAUAAAUUAUGUAGUCACAGGACACAUCAUUUCAAAGAAGAGGUUCUUCAAUGUUCUAUGUGGAAAUGGAACUUACAGCAGAAUGUUUAGGGUAGUAGUACCCUCAGAAUCUAUGCCUAGGCCAGUCUGGAGAAACACUGUCACCAACAAAUUGAUGGGUAUAGUUACGAAAGUGAACCUGAAAACGAUUGCAAUGAAACUGGGCAUAUCUCUGGUACAAUUAACAAGAUAAAGAUUUGAAGUUGAUAAAGGCUCACAUGCUUUCAGCCACACCUAGUACUUAGUAGUUGUUUUCACUUUUAAAAAAAGUUCUCUGAUGCAGUGUAAUAGAAGUGUAUGCCUUUGAUGGUGGAAGCCGACAUCCAUGUACAAGGGAGGUUUAUAGAGAGCCAGUUAAGAUUGUAGUGUACCACUAGCCUCCCUGUAUUCAUUCAAACAUAGUGAGUACGAUGGAUAAAGUAGUUCCAAAGGUGGCAUAGGACCUGGAAUAUCAUUAUUAUAAAGUUUGAUUAAUUGGAAAUAUAUGUUUCAUAUUUUCAUUACAAACCAGUUUAUAUCUAUUACAAGUGAAUAUAGCAAGUUUUUAAAGUGAACAGCAUUUUUAGGCAUUGUAUUUUGUUCCUAAAUAAGUAUAAACUAUAAAAUGAUAAGACAUUUUAAGACAAAAGAUAAUAUGGUAAAAAAACAGCAACCAAAGUGUGGGUGAGCCAAAACAUUAAAAAAACUAAAAAAAAACGUGUUAUCAAAUCAUAAGACUACUAUUGCAUUCAAUGAAUCUUAGGCGUGUCAUUAAGGUGACAGACAAAUGUUUUUAAAGUGUACAUACAAAUUAAAUUUACAAUGAAAACUAAUUAUCGGACAUGAUACACUCGUUAAACCUGCGUUUUAUUCUCUGGAAAACUUAAAACAUAAGUAGUCCAGUUCUUAGUGUAAAUAAUUGUUAUGAAGAACGAAGUUCCGUAAUAAUUCUACGUUCAGUGUUGACAUGUUUUCGUGACUAUGGAGAAAAUGUUAUUGAUAAAGGAUAACAAUUAAAAAUUUGUUUUAUAAUAAAGCAUUUAUCUUUUGUUACAAAGGUUUCGUUAAUUUAAGAACUGUUUAGAGAAAUAAAAUAUCGGUCCUUCAAUAUAACUUCUAUUUUGAAAAGAAAGAGCAAUUAAUGUAGAUCUUGGCAUUUUGGGCAAAUAGAUAGGGUGCAAGUUUAGAAUAUUUUAAUUGUAGUUUUUUAUGGCAUCUUAAUAGGACGGAAGGUUUGUGUAUUUUAUUACCUCUUGGUAGGAAGGGAGAUUUUUGUGUUUUACGACCUUCUAAUUGGUCGAAAGAUUUGUGCGGUAAAGUUGUUAGCUUAAUGAUGAUUAAAUGUAAAUUAAGAUUAGAUGAAGG